rnacentral:rRNA from 1 species
AUUGAACGCUGGCGGCAGGCUUAACACAUGCAAGUCGAACGAGUGGCGGACGGGUUAGUAACAUUUAGGAAUCUGCCUUGUUGUGGGGGAUAGCUCGGGGAAACUCGAAUUAAUACCGCAUACUAUCAGAUGAGCCUAUAUCAGUUUAGCUAGUUGGUGGGGUAAAGGCCCACAAAGGCGACGAUCUGUAUCUGGUCUGAGAGGAUGAUCAGUCACACCGGAACUGAGACACGGUCCGGACUCCUACGGGAGGCAGCAGUGGGGAAUAUUGGACAAUGGGGGAAACCGGAUCCAGCCAUGCCGCGUGUGUGAAGAAGGCCUUUUGGUUGUAAAGCACGUUAAGCAGAGAGGCGUUACCUGCAGAAUAAGCACCGGCUAACUCUGUGCCAGCAGCCGCGGUAAUAC